ensembl:lncRNA
UGGCAUCAAGAGGAGUCUCCUCCCUCUCCUGGGCCCUACGGCAUGCCAUCCUGUGUGUAUGGAAACCAAGUUCACUUUCUCCUUGGCAGUGCUCGGGGUGUGGGGAGGAGAGCAGUGCUUGCGCUAUGGGGCUGGGUCUCCUCUUCCUCACCGUGCUGGCCAUGCUGGUCUCCUGUGAGCACCCAGAAGUGAACUGCGGGCGGCCCGAGGCGGACUUCAACUCAGUGGUGUAUGGCAAUGACUGGUGGGUGGGCUCCGUGG